rnacentral:rRNA from 1 species
AGUGCAGGAGAGGUUAGUGGAAUUCCCAGUGUAGCGGUGAAAUGCGUAGAGAUUGGGAGGAACACCAGUGGCGAAGGCGACUAACUGGACUGUAACUGACGCUGAGGCGCGAAAGUGUGGGGAGCAAACAAGAUUAGAUACCCUGGUAGUCCACACUGUAAACGAUCAUAAAAGGUGUAGGGGGGAUUCGACCCCUUCUGUGCCGCCGUCAACACAUAAAGCAUUCCGCCUGGGGAGUACGGCCGCAAGGUUGAAACUCAAAGGAAUUGACGGGGGCCCGCACAAGCAGCGGAGCAUGUGGUUUAAUUUGACGCAACGCGAAGAACCUUACCAGGUCUUGACAUCCACUUAAAUUUACAGAGAUGUAAGGUGUGCUUGCACAAAGUGAGACAGGUGGUGCAUGGUUGUCGUCAGCUCGUGUCGUGAGAUGUUGGGUUAAGUCCCGCAACGAGCGCAACCCUUAUCUUCAGUUACUAACGCGUGAAGGUGAGGACUCUGAAGAGACUGCCGGGGACAACUCGGAGGAAGGUGGGGACGACGUCAAAUCAUCAUGCCCCUUAUGACCUGGGCUACACACGUGCUACAAUGGCCACGACAGAGAGAAGCGAAAUCGCAAGGUAGAGCGGAACUCAAAAAAGUGGUCCCAGUUCGGAUUGUGGGCUGCAACCCGCCCACAUGAAGUCGGAGUUGUUAGUAAUCGCGGAUCAGCAUGCCGCGGCGAAUACGUUCCCGGGCCUUGCACUCACCGCCCGUC